AGGUCCAUAGCUUAGUGGUAGAGCAUCUGCUUUGCAUGCAGAAGGUCCCAGGUUCAAUCCCAGGCACCCCCAGGAUGUU